AUCGCUUCUCGGCCUUUUGGCUAAGAUCAAGUGUAGUAUACUUUUUUUUUUAAUAGAAAACUGUGUUGUAAGAUCCAGCUAACAAGUCUAGAAACUAACUUUUGAAAUACUGUUUAUGUGUAUCUCUAUAUUAACAGUGAGGAACAGCCUCUCCCAGGGGCAGGCUGUAUGUACUGCAGGCU
rfam:Myotis lucifugus cont2.16910, whole genome shotgun sequence.